rnacentral:lncRNA from 1 species
UCAGGACUCAGAGCUUUUAUCCAGCCUUGAGCUAUUCUUGCUCUGCGUGGGGGAGGGAGGGCUGUAGGCUGCUUCGUCUUCCGAGUAAGGAUGUGAAAAUGAAGAGGAGCCUGGUCUGAGGCUGAGGGGGGAGACAGCAGAUGAGUGCGUGGCCCAGGAGCCAGAGGAAAAGGAGCUGAAGAAAGAGCCUGGUGUCACAGAAAAUAGAACAUUAACGACGUCUGCUGUGUUGUAUCUCCAAGCAGGGAAACAAGGCUCUGUGGGGGACAGGGCAGUGAAAAGGACCUUUCACAGAGAUUACUCAUAAGAAACAAGGCUAAGUCUCCCCAGAGGAAAACUACAAGGGUCCUACCGCCGGGGUAGUGACGAGCACAUGCACGCGUGAGUCUGGUUGCUCUCAUCUUUGAAUUCUCUGCUGAAAUAGCACGUCCUCACAGGGAACUUGCCCAACCACCCUCUUCAAAGCAGAAGCCCCAGGUUCAUUUCUGACCUAGCAUCCCAUUUAUUUUCUUCAGAACAUGUGCUAUAAUAUGUAAAUAGCUUCUUUAUUGUUCACUGUUAAAUUUUUCUAUCUAGAAUGAAAUGUGUUUAUUGCAGGAAAAUGGAAUCUUGUAAGAACGGUUUGUCCAGAUCACUUCGGGAUCCCCAGCACCUGGCACGUGGUGGCACCCACUAGCUUCUCAAUGAAAGCUUGUUCAAUAAAUGAAUGACCCCCACUAUUGGUGAGAGUGUC